rnacentral:tRNA from 1 species
UGUAGUUCAGCUGGUAGAGUGCUUGCCUGGCAUACAUGAAGCCCUGGGUUCAAUUCCCAGUA